rnacentral:lncRNA from 1 species
AUGAUCCACCUUUUCUUUCACUCGCCUCUCCUCCAGCAAAUCUAUAAUGCAUUUAAUCUUCAGCAGUCACUCUCCUCAGUUUUUAAAUGUCUAAUUUGCUGCCGAGUGCAGCUCCAAUUCUCUCUGUGCCGCCGUUUUAACUCUCUGCCUUGUGUUUGCCCAAUUGCUUGUCUGCUUGGAUGGAGAGACCCGACUGCACCUGAUCCUUCGGAGAGAGGGAGGGGGAGAGAAGCUUACCGGAGGGCAGAGACUUCGCAGCGUCGUUGUCCAGGCAAACACCUUGGUGCUUUGGGAGACUACCUGCUUUGCUCACACCACAGCCAGCAGGCUGCUGUCAAGCAAGGCUUUCCCCUGUGCCAAGAGCAGGCUCCCCAGCCCUCGGCUGGCUGGAGCAGGCGUGCGGUGCCUGGGCCAUGCUGCCAGCACUGGCACGAAGCCUCCUUCAGCCCACAGCAAGGCAGGAGGUGGGGAUGGUUUCACCAAACCUCGUGGGUUUGUUCCCAAGCGCCCAGACUCGCUCUGACCCUUCCAAGGCUGCUCAGGCAGAACCUGUCCCCAGGAGCCCCCACCCCAGCCCUGGCAGCCCCUGACUGCUCUUCCUCUGUGCCCCACCAUCAUCCCCACUCAACCCGAGCAACCCAGUGUCACUGCUGUAACUGGCAGCCCCCAGCAUACUGGGGAUGCUGGGCACUGCCCUCCCACCCCACCUGUGCUCCCAGCUGCGGCCACUUCUCUGCCCCAUCUGAGAGCACUCAGCACCAGCCUGCGUGCCUGCUGCCAGCUGUGGGUGUUAAUGCCCUCUGCAGGGGCUGGUGGUGUGGCUGUUUGGGACUGCUCUGCAGGGCAGUUCUGCUGAGAAUUACUGUGCCACCAGGAGGAAUAAACAACCAUUAUGUCUCAGCACAAGGAAGGCGGUUAAUUUUUCCCUGUUGGAGCUCUGUUGCUCUGAAACACUUUCUCAUUGUACUCGUGAAAUAUAUGUUAGUAUAAUUAUGGAUACUGGUCCGGGCAGCAAAUGAAAGGCAUGGUGGUGAUUAAUGUAAGUGUGUGUGAGGUCACCUUUCCUCACCCUGGCAUGGAAGAAAGAAGUCCAUCUCUCUUUUCCCUAAAAUCUCCUGGAACUAAACAAGUGGCAGGGCAAUAUCCAUAACAAUGUGCAGAACGCUGUAAGAGAUGGCAGACCUGAAAAGAGGGGAAAGAAAUUCCCCUGAAUUUCUGACUUCUCUCAGAUGGAAUAUUAAUGCUCUUUUAACAGUAUUUUGAAUUCUAUUUCUAUAGAUGGAUUUUCUAAAAUGAUGGCGUUAAAAAAGACUGCCCCCGCCCCCAGCAGUUUCUGGCUCACAUCAGAGGAAGCUGCUCAGGAGGGCUUUGACAUACAAGACACUGUAAUGGCUCCUGAAAUCAGUCCCUGCCGUAGCAAAGUCACCACCCAGACACGCACAGCACCGUGCCCGUGGGCUGUGGAGCCCAGCUCCAUGAAUGUGCAGCAGAGCAGGCAGCAGAGGAGAACAAUUUGG